rnacentral:rRNA from 1 species
AUUGAACGCUGGCGGCAUGCUUUACACAUGCAAGUCGAACGGUAACAGGGAGCUUGCUCCGCUGACGAGUGGCGAACGGGUGAGUAAUGCAUCGGAACGUACCCAGUCGUGGGGGAUAACGUAGCGAAAGUUACGCUAAUACCGCAUACGUCCUGAGGGAGAAAGCGGGGGACCGUAAGGCCUCGCGCGAUUGGAGCGGCCGAUGUCGGAUUAGCUAGUUGGUAGGGUAAAGGCCUACCAAGGCGACGAUCCGUAGCGGGUCUGAGAGGAUGAUCCGCCACACUGGGACUGAGACACGGCCCAGACUCCUACGGGAGGCAGCAGUGGGGAAUUUUGGACAAUGGGCGAAAGCCUGAUCCAGCCAUGCCGCGUGAGUGAAGAAGGCCUUCGGUGUAAGCUCUUCAGCCGGAAAGAAAUACGCGCAGGAUAAUACUACUGCGUGGAUGACGGUACCGG